AUUGGGUACUUUUUCUACUCCCAAUUUCCUCUCCAAGAAAUCGAUUCCUGCUCCCAAACCGUCGAUUCCUUCUCCCAGGGUAACGAUUUCUUCUCCAAUUGCAGGAAUUCACGUUCUUGAAACCACCAAGGUGAGUUCUCCAUUAAUAUCUACUUCUCUACUGUGUUCUUUUCCCACUCUCAAUCAAUCGCCCACUUGAAUCGCUCCUCUUUUGGACAACUGAUUAAAACCAUUGUAUUAUUGUAAUAGGUUUGAAACCUCUAAAUCUAUGGCUUUUGUUAGUUGAUUUUUGGUUUUUUUGCACAAUUUUUCUUAUGAUUUUUGGUUUCUGCUGUCAAAGAGGAAAACCAGUGCCAAGUUAUGGAUUUUUCUUAUGAUUUUUGGUUUCUGCUUCCAUUGAUUAAACCCAUUAGGGUUUUCUUCUCUUCCACUCUCGCUCAAUCUUCUCCUUUCAAGUUGUUGAUGAUUUCUGGACAUUUGCAAUGGCCGCCUAAGAGCUUUCGCCUUAGCCAGGCUUGAGAGCUAAAAUGUUGCUUUGCUCAUAUCUUGGAUGUCUGAAGUUUAUUUAGAAAUUUGUUUUGAUAUUGGGUUCUCAGUGAUGAUUUCAUAGACGAUAUAUCCAUUCUAUUCAUCAUGAAGAUGAAUCAAGGCAUUCAGGUAAGCCUUCAUCUUUGUAUGUUGACAUUCAGGUAAGCUUUCAUUAUCGAUCACAUUUCCCUAUCCAUUUCGGGUUUUUGGUUUUAUUUGAAUUUAGGUUAGAUUGAAUUUGGUUUCCCUAUCCUUUCAUUUACGGAUUUCACAUGUUUUGUUAAUUCCUUUAGGGAUCAUUUAUAGUGAUUUGGAGAAGUAUUUUAAUGUAAUCUACUAAUGUAUAUACAUCAUAGAAAAUAACUUGGUUUGUUUAAGAUCUUCCAGCAAAAUCUGCUCCAAACCCAUGUUAGGGAGUCUGCUUCAAGGGUUUCAACCCUUUAAAAAACAACCUACUUCUUGUUUCCUUUCAAACAAAUUAUCUCCGUCACCAGAGCAAGAACCAUUUCGGGGCUUUCAUCACUCCAUUACAGGUUUCUGAAAUGGUGGCUGACAAGGGUAAGAAACCCGAGAUUGGAGAGAAAAUCAUGGAGGACAAUACUGAGCAAAUCAUGAGCUUGUUCUAUCCAUUGCAAAGUUGUCGGAGGUCCAAGAUGAACUUAAAAAGCUAAUUGGAGGCUUGAGCUGAACACUUGGGGUAUGAGUUGGAUGUAAUUGCAUGGAUGACAAUGCCACAACUACGAAUUGGAGCACAAAGAUCAAAACUGCUUGGUGAUCUUCAUUCUGCCACUUAACCUGUUGAUCAAGGGGACGUUGCUACACCAACUCAAAAACAGAACUAGAAGGAAAGCUGGUGGUGGAAGGGGAAGGGGCGAUGAUGAAGCUAUAGCAAAAGGAACUAAGGGGCCGUUUACCAAAUAUUUACCCGGGGGGAAGUKCUGAUGAAAUAAUGGAGCUGAAGAGAAAGGAAGCGCAACUCCACUACCUGAGAGRGUACAAGUGGGUAAUUCUCCUUCACAUAARCCAAAGAAACUCCGGUUGAAGGGAUUGAAGAGAUCUUGAAACCUUCACGAUCUGAAAGUGAUGGAUCAUCAAUUGAAUUGCCGGCAAAAGGUGAAGAAAACAAAAGCAGAAACUGUGCCAGCAACAACAAGCAGGACGACUGGUCGUGGAGUAAGGAGGCAAUUGGCGAGGUUAAUGAAUUGAAAACACUGAUAGUCUCCAGCACCAGAAAGAAGGCCCCGACUACUUCUUGUUGCAAUGUGGGGAGUCAACUGAAUGAGUGUGAAGAAAUCGCAAAAAAACAACUGUUUGGUGGAACAUAAGACGAAGUGCAUCCCAAAUAUACUGUAGCAGUUGCAAUAUAUAGUCGAAGGAAAGGGACUACAACAUGAAAUCAAGACACUGUUAAAAAGGAGACUACUGUUCAGAAAGUGUACAGCACAAGAAGAUCAACAAGGUUAACUACAAAGAAAUUUGUAGAGCCAAGUGCGAUGGAGAGGGAAAGGAGUGAAUCUAUGAAGAUUGAUUCGUUUUUGGAUCGGAAGAGGAUUUGGGUCACCCCGUUCAAGAGAAAAGUGUGGGCUUAGGUAUGCGUUUGACACUACUAACAGGUUUAUAUUUUUAACAUAUAAGCUGGCUGUUUUGUUAUGCACAUUUUUUAAUUUGUACCAGGGUAGAUAUAUAUUUGAGGAAGCUUAUCUGGAUGUGAUUUAAUUUUGGAUUUAGGUUUUUGGUUUUAUAGAAGACUUGCGAGUUAUGGCAAUGAUAUUGAGAUGUCAAAGGGCGUUUUAGCCAUUAUAUGUUU